UCCCUGUGUGUUUCCGCUGGUUUGACUCUGAGUGUCCGCGGCUCGGUUCGGUCUCUGUGGCUCUGCUGUGUGUGUUUGCGGACAUUUAGACACCGAAAACUGCCUGAAAUAAACUUUUCCCCUCUCAGGUCUGUGGACGGACAACUCGCCUCGCGGAUUAACGACUUUUACCGGACGAUGACAGGGUUUAGGAGGAUGUCAGAGCAGAUCAGAAGGUUCCGCUGAAGGUCUGGUGAUGGAUCGAUCUCAGAGCCUCCUCCUGAAUGAGGAGGCGCUCGGUCAGAUUGGAGAACAUCAGCGAGCUGAGUUCGUGUUCGAAUGGCUGACCCACCUGAAGACGCUGCUGCCAGCCGCUGACCGGGUCGACAUCAGGCAGAACCAGCGGCGCCUCAUCGACCAGUUAUCGGCCAUUCUGAUUGGCUCUCCUGGCCCGCCGACCCGCUGGCUGCUGGCCCACUGCCUGGCCCUGCUGUACCGGCUGGGAGACCCCAUCCCUUCCAGUUUAAUGGUGGAGAGGUGCAAUGACAUCAUCAGGAGCAAAGAUGAUUCACCGUCAGGCCUCCCGACUCGACUGGCAGCCAUCGCAUGUCUCGGUUCUCUCUAUGAGCAGCUCGGUCGGAUGCUGGUCGGUUCCUUCAAAGAUACUCUCGUGAAUCUGCUGAAGGCCAUGAAGAGUGCAGAGUCUCAGGGUCGCUAUGAGAUCAUGCUGAGCAUUGAGAAGAUCCUCAGAGGUUUAGGCGUGAGCGCCGUGUCGAGCCACCGUGACGUCUACAAGGCGGCGAGGGCGUGUCUGACGGACCGAUCCAUGGCCGUACGCUGCGCUGCCGCUAAGUGUUUGCUGGAGCUGCAGAGGGAAGCCGUGUUCCUGUGGACCAGCGAGUUGGAGAACGUGGCCACGCUCUGCUUCAGAGCCUUCGAGGGUUCCAACUACAACGUCAGAGUUUCAGUGUCCGAGCUGCUGGGAACUCUGCUGGCUGCAGCCGUGGAGCCGAGACAGUCCACCGCAGCCCCCAGGCAGGGCGGUAAGGGGCGGAGCUCCCUGGAGGAAGUGAUGGACUUGUUGUCGGCCGGUUUCCUGCGAGGCGGCGGCGGUUUCCUGCGAACUAGUGGAGACAUGUUGAAGGGGACGAGUUCUGUCAGCAAAGACAUCCGGAUCGGAGUCACUCAGGCCUGUGUGGUUUUCGUCUCCACCCUCGGAGGCUCCUGGUUGGAGGCAAACUUCGCGGCCUUCCUGUCGCUGCUGAUGGAGCUGGCGUCCCACGGCAGGGCGACCCAGACGCCGGUGGACGCCGCUGUGACCCGUCGCUGCGUCUCCUUCAUCCUGAGGAGCACUCUGGGGUCUCUGCUGGGGGAGAAGGCUCAGACCAACGCCGCCAAGCAGAUCUGCAUCGCCGUGGCAUCGCAGAAACGAACCAUCGAUGCAGCUCUCACCGACGGUAACGUAGAAACCAGAGUUUCUUCUGCCGACGUCUCGGCCAGUCAGCAUGUGCUGGUCUGCUGCCUGCUGGAACUGGGAGCUCUGGUUCAGGGACUGGGAUCUACGGCUGCCCCCCUCCUCACCGACACCACCACAGCCCUCCUGGACUCGGUCGUCUCCGUCCUCCUCCAUCCCGUCGCUUCGGCUCGACUCGCCGCCGCCUGGUGCCUCCGCUGCGUCGUCAUGGCGAUGCCAUCCCAGUGUUCCCCGCUGUUGGACCGCUGUGCUGAGCGACUGGUGGCGCUGAAAUCUUCCCCCGAGGCCGUGGCCGGGUACGGGGCUGCUGUCGCCGCCCUGGUGGCCGCUGUGCAGCACUGCCCUCUGGGAAUACCGCAUACGAAGGGCAAGGUGGUUCUGGGUCUGGCUGAGGAUCUUCUCCGUUCAGCUUCUCAGAACAGUCGUAUUUCUCUGCAGAGGACUCAGGCCGGCUGGAUGCUCGUCUCCUCCCUCAUCACUCUGGGUCCUGCGGUGGUUGAACACCAUCUCUCCCGCCUCCUCCUCCUCUGGCGUUGUGUUUUUCCUGCUUCUCUCAGAGAGCAGGACAUGGAGCUGAGGAGGGGGGACUACUUUACGUGGCAGGUUACGCUGGAGGGACGGGCUGGGGCGCUCUGCGCCAUGAAGAAUCUUCUGCUGCACUGCAGAGAGCUGGUCACUGAUGACAUCAUCAGCCGUCUGGUCACGCCAUUGGCCUGCGCUGUCGCCCUGCUCAGCAAGCUGCCGGCUCUGCUCAGGUCCUACGGUAGCUCGGUUCGUUGUUUCUCCGUCGUCUACAGACUCAGAGUUUACGAGCUUCUCUCUCUGCUGCCUCCAAACACCUACCAAGAGAGUUUCGGUUUGGUGAUGAACCAGCUGGUCUCUGAUCUGUCCGGUCAGGACAACCUCAACCAGCCGUGUUCUGACCUCACGCUGCUGCCGCCGCUCUGUCACCAUGACGACCUGCCGCUGGUCGGCCCCGCCCUCCAUGACACCGACCACCGAUACAUCGAGGAGCAGCUCCACGGCAGCAUUGUGGGCGGAGCCUCUCUGGACAACGACCCCUUCAGUCUCUGUGAUCGAGGUGAUGAAGCUCCAGCUCCUCUUCCUCCUCACGUCGCUCUGACCGCCGCCUCCACAACUCUGUUUGGAGUCCUGUUCCCCCACAUCAUCUCUGCCCAGAGAGUGAAGAUUCUGGAGCAGUUUGUGGAAACGGUGAAUCAGCUGAAAGGUCAACGGCAGCAGACGGUCCAGACUCAUGUGUGUGCUGCCCUCUGCAGUCUGUUAAAGCACCAGGGCAGCGUCCGAGGCUCGCUGGGUCCAGAGGACGUCCGCUCCCCGGCCUUGUCCCUCCUGUCGGGGGCGCUGGAGAGCAGCAGUCCUCUGAUCCGCUGCCUGGCUGCUGAAGGUUUGGCUCGGCUGGUCCAGGUGGUCGGAGACCCCGGGUUCACCGCCUCCGUCUCUCUGCUCUGCUUCGACAGGCUGAAGACGGCUCGUGAUGCUGCGUCUCGUAGCGGCUACGCUCUGGCUCUGGGGGCGCUGCAGAGAUACACCGGAGGAAUCGGCUCACCUCAACACCUGUCCACCUGUCUGGGAGUUCUGUUCACGCUGAGCCAGGACAGCACCUCACCUGAAGUCCAGACCUGGUCCCUCCACAGCCUGUCCCUGGUGGUGGACCUGUCCGGCUGCCUCUAUCGGACCCACGCCGAGCCGUCCUUCUCCCUGGUGCUCCGCCUGCUGCUGUCCACGCCGCCCACCCACCCCGAGGUUCACCACAGCCUGGGUCGCUGCCUGCACGGCCUCAUCACCUGCCUGGGCCCCGACCUGCAGGGUGACGGAGCGGCCGAGCUUCGGUCCAGCUGUCUGGUGGGAUGUGGGGUGAUGCAGGCCGGUCCAGACUGUCUGGUUCAGGCCAGAGCCAUCUCCUGUCUGCAGCAGCUGCACAUGUUCUCACCUCCACAUGUGAACCUGGCCAGCCUCGUACCGGCCCUCUGCGAGAUCUUGUUGGAUUAUUCCGUGUUGGCCAACCUGUGCAGCUCCUUCCUGUGUUUACGGAGAGCUGUGGUGGCCUGUCUGAGGCAGCUGGUCCAGCGGGAGGCGCUAGAGGUUUCUGAACACGCCGUCGCUCUGGUCAAAGAGCUGCCGAGACGAGACAACACGCAGCUCGACGUCACCAUAAAGGAGGUGGGUCUGGAAGGAGCUCUGUUCACUCUGCUGGACCGAGAGUCUGAUCCAGGACUGAGGAGGGACAUCCAGGAGACUCUGGUCCACAUGAUGGCCUCCAGCAGCAGACUGGCUCACUGGCUCAAACUCUGCAAGGACGUUCUGUCGGCGACCACCGACAGCCGGUCGCCAUUGGAGACGAGUCAGGAGGACGACGACGGUUGCCGAGACGACGACUCGUCUGCGUUCAGAGCGCGCUCAGAGAGCAGCGGUCCGUUCACGGCGCUGCGCUGGGCGACCCGACGCUUCGCCGUGGAGUGCGUCUGUCGGAUCAUCGCCCAGUGCGAGUCGGCCGACCCCGCCCACUUUGACAUGGUUCUGGCUCAGGAGAGGCGGCUGCUCGAGUCCACAGACUUCCUGGUCCUCCAUCUUGGAGACCUGGUCCGGAUGGCCUUCAUGGCAGCGACGGAUCACAGCGACCCGCUCAGACUGGCCGGACUCCAGACGCUGCUGGUGAUCAUCAGACGGUUCUCCUCCAUCCCAGAACCGGAGUUCCCGGGUCACGUGAUCCUGGAGCAGUACCAGGCCAACGUUGGAGCUGCUCUCAGACCGGCCUUCAGUCCUGAUGCUCCUCCUGACGUCACUGCUAAAGCCUGCCAGGUGUGCAGCGCCUGGAUCGCCAGCGGCGUCGUCAGUGACCUCAGAGAUCUCCGCCGCGUCCACCAGCUGCUGGCCUCCUCAUUGGCUAAAGUCCAGAGUGGGCGGGACCCCGGCAGCCAGCUGUACAACGAGGCGGCCGCUACCAUGGAGACGCUGGCUGUUCUCAAAGCCUGGGCCGAGGUUUACAUUGUAGCGGUGGAGAGCAGCAGACUGAAGGAGAGUCCUGAUAGGUCGGCAGACCCGUCUGUCUCCUCCUCGACCAAUGACGGCUCAGGCUGUGAGUCGGGAGGGGCAGGGCUCCUGAAGCUGGUCCAAUCAGAUCUGUCAACGCUGAGCCGUCUGUGGUUGGCGGUGCUGCAGGAUUACGCUCUGCUGACCCUCCCCCAGGAGAACACGGCUCAGAUACCUGCAUCAGGAGGAGCUUUCUACACAGCAGAGACGGUGAACCAGGCCAGAGCUCAUUACUCCUCCUGCUGGGCUCCGGUUCUUCAGGCUUCGUCUCUCUGGCUGCAUAGCUCAGGCUUCCUUAUGGCAGACGACACACCUGCCAACCUGUCCAGACCGGCCACGCCCACCUCCAUGGGCCACACCGGCUCAGUGGGCGGAGCCAAGAGUCCCGAAGACGUCAACACCGACAGGCUGCACCUGAUACUGGGGAUCAGUGUGGAGUUUCUCUGUUCUCCACAUUCUGAAGACCAGAUGGAGAACAUCACUUCCUGUCUCAGAGCUCUGCAGGCGCUGCUGGACGUCUCCUGGCCUCGAGCAAAGAUCGGAAAUGACCAGGCUCUGAGCGUGGAGCUGCUCAGCGUCCUCCACAGACUGAUGGUGACCAGAGAGUCGGCGUCCGUUCAGCUCGCCGUGUUGGAUUUACUGCAGCAGAUCGUGACGGCGGCUCAGGAGCACGUCAGGGAGAAACGUCACUCUGCUGAAGUGGACGACGGAGCUGCAGAGAAGGAAACGCUGCCGGAGUUCGGAGAAGGACGAGACACCGGAGGUUUGAUUCCCGGUCGAUCGCUGGUGUUUGGAGCUCUGGAGCUCUGUCUCUGUGUUCUGGUCCGGAAACUCCCACAGCUGAGCCCAAAACUGGCCGGGACCAGUCCGACCGGUUGUGGGUCUUCAGCCUGGACUCUGACUGACAGUGAUUGUCGUCUCGUAUCCUCUGCGGUUUCUGUCCUCUCUGAGCUGCCGUCCGUCUGCUCUCCUGAAGGAAGUGUCUCCAUCCUCCCAACUGUCCUCUAUCUGCUGCUGGGAGUCCUCAGAGAGCUGGUACACCAGCGCAGCACACACACAGCUGCCCCGGCGGCGGGCUCUGGAGCCGGUCUGGGUUUGGUGGUCCAGGCGACUCUUCAGGCCCUGAAGUCGGUUCUGACGUCUCCGAUGAGUCGACAGGAGAAAAGCCGAGGAUCCUGGAAGCUGCUGCUGAGAUCAGCUCUGAGCACUCUGCUGACCCUCUGGGACUCUGGUUCUUCAGACUGCGCCGUGGACCAGAUCAGCCUCCUCACCGCUCUCACCGUCUUCCUGCUGUCGGCCGGUCCAGAUGUUUGCAUCGUGGAGCCUCUGCACGCGCUCAGUCUGCAGCGCUUCACCGCCAGCAUGGAGUCCAAAGAGCCGCUGGUGGUGAGUCGAUGCUACCAGCUGCUAACGUCGGUGUUUCAGGCUCCUCCGGCCGUCUCCGUCCCGUUUAUCCAGGCCCUGGGCCCGGUUCUGGUCCGGUUCCUGCAGCAGGUGGAACGGCGCCGACCUCAGAGUCCAGAAGAACUAAACGGAGUUCUGGAGGGAAUCAGAGCCAUGGAGGCUUUGAUCCAGACAGCAGAGGAGGCACAGCGUUCUCACCUCGUCUCCUUCCUGCUUCCUCUCCUCAUCUCCUUCCUAUUGGAUGAAAACGCUCUUGGCUCCGCCCCCUCGGCAUCCCGGUCGCUGCACGAGGCGGCGCUCAAAGACCUGAUGAGACUCGGACCCCAACACCCAGCAGUAUUCAGGUAGGGUCAGUGAAUGCAUCAUUAACACCCAGUAGUGUUCAGGUAGGGUCAGUGAACGCAUCAUUAAAACACCCAGCAGUGUUCAGGUACGGUCAGUGAACGCAUCAUUAACACACCCAGCAGUGUUCAGGUAGGGUCAGUAAACCUAUCAUUAAAACACCCAGCAGUGUUCAGGUACGGUCAGUGAACGCAUCAUUAACACACCCAGCAGUGUUCAGGUAGGAUCAGUGAACGCAUCAUUAACACCCAGCAGUGUUCAGGUAGGGUCAGUGAACGCAUCAUUAACACACCCAGCAGUGUUCAGGUAGGGUCAGUGAACGCAUCAUUAACACACCCAGCAGUGUUCAGGUACGGUCAGUGAACGCAUCAUUAACACACCCAGCAGUGUUCAGGUACGGUCAGUGAACGCAUCAUUAACACCCCGUAGUGUUCAGGUAGGGUCAGUGAACGCAUCAUUAACACACCCAGCAGUGUUCAGGUAGGGUCAGUGAACGCAUCAUUAACACCCAGUAGUGUUCAGGUAGGAUCAGUGAACGCAUCAUUAACACCCAGCAGUGUUCAGGUAGGGUCAGUGAACGCAUCAUUAAAACACCCAAUAGUGUUCAGGCAGGGUCAGUGAACGCAUCAUUAACACACCCAGCAGUGUUCAGGUACGGUCAGUGAACGCAUCAUUAAAACACCCAGCAGUGUUCAGGUAGGGUCAGUGAACGCAUCAUUAACACACCCAGCAGUGUUCAGGUAGGGUCAGUGAACGCAUCAUUAACACACCCAGCAGUGUUCAGGUACGGUCAGUGAACGCAUCAUUAAAACACCCAGCAGUGUUCAGGUAGGGUCAGUGAACGCAUCAUUAAAACACCCAGCAGUGUUCAGGUAGGGUCAGUGAACGCAUCAUUAACACCCAGCAGUGUUCAGGAAGGGUCAGUGAACGAAUCAUUAACACCCAGUAGUGUUCAGGCAGGGUCAGUGAACGCAUCAUUAACACACCCAGCAGUGUUCAGGCAGGGUCAGUGAACGCAUCAUUAACACACCCAGCAGUGUUCAGGUACGGUCAGUGAACGCAUCAUUAAAACACCCAGCAGUGUUCAGGUAGGGUCAGUGAACGCAUCAUUAAAACACCCAGCAGUGUUCAGGUAGGGUCAGUGAACGCAUCAUUAACACACCCAGCAGUGUUCAGGUACGGUCAGUGAACGCAUCAUUAAAACACCCAGCAGUGUUCAGGUAGGGUCAGUGAACGCAUCAUUAAAACACCCAGCAGUGUUCAGGUAGGGUCAGUGAACGCAUCAUUAACACCCAGCAGUGUUCAGGAAGGGUCAGUGAACGAAUCAUUAACACCCAGUAGUGUUCAGGCAGGGUCAGUGAACGCAUCAUUAACACACCCAGCAGUGUUCAGGUACGGUCAGUGAACGCAUCAUUAAAACACCCAGCAGUGUUCAGGUAGGGUCAGUGAACGCAUCAUUAACACACCCAGCAGUGUUCAGGCAGGGUCAGUGAACGCAUCAUUAACACACCCAGCAGUGUUCAGGUAGGGUCAGUGAACGCAUCAUUAAAACACCCAGCAGUGUUCAGGUAGGGUCAGUGAACGCAUCAUUAAAACACCCAGCAGUGUUCAGGUAGGGUCAGUGAACGCAUCAUUAACACACCCAGCAGUGUUCAGGUAGGGUCAGUGAACGCAUCAUUAACCUUCUUGAGGUCAUUCUUUGAAUUAUUUUGAGUCAUUAGAUCAAUUUUUGUGCCAUUUGUGACACAUUUUGGUAAUUUUGGACAUUCUUCGUUUGUUUUUGAAGGUUUAAGUCAUUUUGAAACAACUUUUGAUUAAGUUUCUGGUAUUUCAGACGCAUUUUGAGUCAUUGAGGACAAAUUUUU